UACGUAGGGUGCAAGCGUUGUCCGGAAUUAUUGGGCGUAAAGGGCUCGUAGGCGGUCUGUCGCGUCGGCUGUGAAAUCCCGAGGCUCAACCUCGGGUCUGCAGUCGAUACGGGCAAACUAGAGUAUUGCAGGGGAGACUGGAAUUCCUGGUGUAGCGGUGAAAUGCGCAGAUAUCAGGAGGAACACCGGUGGCGAAGGCGGGUCUCUGGGCAAUAACUGACGCUGAGGAGCGAAAGCGUGGGGAGCGAACAGG
rnacentral:rRNA from 1 species